GUGAGUCAUCGAAUCUUUGAACGCACAUUGCGCCCGCCAGUAUUCUGGCGGGCAUGCCUGUUCGAGCGUCAUUUCAACCAUCAAGCCCCCGGGCUUGUGUUGGGGACCUGCGGCUGCCGCAGGCCCCGAAAAACAGUGGCGGGCUCGCUGUCACCCCGAGCGUAGUAGUUUACACCUCGCCCAGGGCGUGCCGCGGGUUCCCGGCCGUUAAACCCCCCACAUCUAAAGGUUGACCUCGGAUCAGGUAGGAAGACCCGCUGAACUUAAGCAUAUCAAUAAGCGGAGGA
rnacentral:misc_RNA from 1 species